rnacentral:rRNA from 1 species
UACGAAGGGGGCUAGCGUUGCUCGGAAUCACUGGGCGUAAAGGGUGCGUAGGCGGGUUUUUAAGUCAGGGGUGAAAUCCUGGAGCUCAACUCCAGAACUGCCUUUGAUACUGAAGAUCUUGAGUCCGGGAGAGGUGAGUGGAACUGCGAGUGUAGAGGUGAAAUUCGUAGAUAUUCGCAAGAACACCAGUGGCGAAGGCGGCCAACUGGACGAAGACUGACGCUGAGACACGAAAGCGUGGGGAGCAAACAGG